UAAGCUAUUUACCUAACCUCAAAUACCGUGCUAAAAGCCAAGAACAUGGUGGCAGGUGACCUAAUUGUACUCAGCUAUCAGUUUACUCAGAUCCAGGAGUGAUGCCAGGCAAACACAGACUGCUGUAGGAACCAGUGCUUUGUGACAGCUCCUCUUCCCACCUUCCCUGCUGCUGCAGCUGGUUGGCAUCACAGAGAAAAGCAAGCAGAAGGCUCUCAACCUGCCUAAAGCCUCUGCAAGUGGUCAGUGUGCUCUGCCGAUUGAUUUUAACUCACAAUUCCUCUCUUCCUUGAAGAGUAACCAGGCUAGGUCCCUUAAGCACUGCCCAUAAUGCCAACCUAAACCUCUUCAACUCCAUAACCUCCUCAGACUUGUCAGACUGUGAAGAAAUCACCAGGACUUUGUGGCCAGGGAGAAUGGAGGCCCUCGAGGGCAAGAAGGAGCUCUAAGAAGUAUUCAGAUAACAACCUGGGGGCUGCAUUUCUUCAGCCAGAGGUCAGAAGAGUUCAGAGGCUUUGGGGAUGACCAACAAAACUAUUAGUUGCAGAUAUUCCAGAAAUAUGUCUGGAAAAGGUCUUCCCAGGCCUGCUCAGGACCAUUGCUAAAGCCAGCUGUGGACUCAUACCAGACCUGAAACACUGGAAACCUGCUGAACAAGGAUGGCAGCUAUAAACAGUGCAGUGAAACUCUAGCUCUUGAUUGCCCAAAAUUCAGCUAGAAGAUCAGACUUCAGCCAGGAGCUUUGAGCGACUCCAUAAGGAAUAUCAACAGGGACAAAGCCUUCCCCCUCACACACUAUGACCUCUACCAGUGAGAAGAGGUUUGGUAGGGGGAAGUGGUUGGUUUGACUUGGGGGGUGAAUUUUGUUCUUUUUCAGCCAUCAAAGCAUUAGACUUCUCAGGAAUAAAACACAUGGUAAACCGACAAAUUUGUUCAAUCUCCUGACACACUGUCCUUAGCAUGACCAGCAGCUCAGAAGAUUUCAGAUCUGUCAACCCGUGCCAUGGCCCUACCUUAUGAAGCAGAGAUGCCGUGUCACAGCAGUAUAUUCUUACCCAAGGGUCCAGUAGAAACAUGCCACGUUGCCCAUUCAAGCAGAGAGCAAGGCCUGGUUUCAGAUACAACUUUUCAGAUAAAACUUUUCAGAUGUGGGUAGAGCCAGUUGUGACAGAAUAGUAAAACUGAAAAGACAAGCUCUUGAUGAAGCUUUUUCCGAAGUCUAGAGUGCUGCUAUGGAGACCAUCCUUGAAAGCAGGCUCAGUGCCUGUUUUGCAGAGCUUUCAAGUUUUACCACAGGGAAGGAAAGUGAUCUUUAGAUUUUGCCCUGUUGCCUGAUCUAUUGCUCUAUGUCUUGUUCCUGCCUCACCAGGGCAACAACUUCUUAUUAUCUGUAUUGUUUCAGCUAAUUAUUCCAUUAAUGAUUCAGCUAAUAUAGUUUAAUACAGGAAGUGUAGAUGUCACAUCAUUAAACAAUUAUUUACGUAUUCUAGACCUUUACCAUAAUCCAACUUGAGAUUUGUUAAUUUAUUUCUCCUCUGGUGUUUAUGAGGUAUGACAUCCUGCAAGCAACUAAUUCUGGGUCUCUGUUCUCUUUGAGAUUUAAUCAGCGUUUGAGACUUACUUCUGGUAUUAUGCCAGGAUAACUAGAAAGCAAGAACAAGCAAGCUUUCCAGCAUUUGGCAGCUCCUUUAAAACAAGUAGAAUUUUAGCAGUUGAUGUGAAACCCAUAAAAACCUUUCAAAAUCUAGCAGUUCUUUCUCACAUCAAAAAAAAAAAAAAAAGAAAAACCAAAUUAAAAAAUAAACCUCUUGCUUAUACAAGCUUGA